rnacentral:tRNA from 1 species
UCCUGGUAGCUCCAACGGUAAAGAUUCUGCCUGCAAUGCAGGAGACCCGGGUUCAAUCCCUGGAUCGGGAA